rnacentral:misc_RNA from 1 species
GAUGAAGAACGUAGCGAAAUGCGAUACUUGGUGUGAAUUGCAGAAUCCCGUGAACCAUCGAGUCUUUGAACGCAAGUUGCGCCCGAAGCCAUUAGGCCGAGGGCACGUCUGCCUGGGCGUCACACAACGUUGCCCCCCCAAACCUCGACUUCCAAGAGGACGGGGGGCGGAUGCUGGCCUCCCGUGCGCCACGGCUCGCGGUUGGCCCAAAUGCGAGUACUCGGCGACGAGCGCCGCGGCAAUCGGUGGUUGUCCAACCCUCGGUGCCAUGCUGCGCGCGCUAGCCGCUCACUGUUACUCGACGACCCCAAUGCGUCGUAGCCACGACGCUCACAACGCGACCCCAGGUCAGGCGGGGCUACCCGCUGAGUUUAAGCAUAUCAAUAAGC